UCCACUGAAUCACGCCUCCACGCAGCUCGUUCUGGACCACGAGACGUACGUCCUGAACUUGACGGAGGCGCAGGCAAGCAGCGAGGCUCACUGGGAGCGCCUCUACUCGGCCAGGGACGCGUACGGAAUGGCCGCCCUCACGCCCGCCGAUUGGCAGGACCUGGGGAGCGCAUGGCGGCCGACAGGAGCCUCUUCGACGUCUACUACAAGCACUUCGUCAGCGCCGGGGACCCGUACAUGGCCCUGGGCUGCGACGACCAGUGCUACCAGCAGCGCCUUUGCGACGUCGUCAGCUCCGACAGGAAUGACCUGGACCACUGCUUGAAACUACUGACGAGAAUGCAGAAAGGACGACAACAGACGUCCGGCGAAUUCGAGUUCUCAUAGCAGUUCUCGUCUCUAGCGUCGACGCUGCGGUGCUGCUGGAUUAGUUGCGUAGUAUUUGAUCAGCAAUAAACUGUGAAAAA